rnacentral:rRNA from 1 species
CCGAAAGGCAGGAGUGCCUGCAAGGGAGCGCGGAGACAGGUGGUGCAUGGCUGUCGUCAGCUCGUGUCCUGAGAUGUUGGGUUAAGUCCCGCAACGAGCGCAACCCUCACCUUUUGUUGCCAUCAGGUCAUGCUGGGCACUCUAGAGGAACUGCCCCGGUCAACGGGGAGGAAGGCGGGGAUGACGUCAAGUCAUCAUGCCCCUUACGUCAUGGGCUACACACGUGCUACAAUGUCCGGUACAAAGGGAUGCCACACCGCGAGGUAGAGUUAAAACCAAAAAGCCGGUCUAAGUUAGGAUUGGAGUGUGCAACUCGACUCCAUGAAGGAGGAAUCGAUAGUACUCGCCUAUCAGCACGACCCGGCGAACACGUUCCCGGGCCUUGUACACACCGCCCGUCACACCACGAAAGCCAG